GAUGAACGCUAGCUACAGGCUUAACACAUGCAAGUCGAGGGGAAACGAUAUUGGAAGCUUGCUUCCGAUAGGCGUCGACCGGCGCACGGGUGAGUAACGCGUAUCCAACCUGCCCAUCACUUGGGGAUAACCUUGCGAAAGUAAGGCUAAUACCCAAUGACGUCUCUAGAAGACAUCUGAAAGAGAUUACAGAUUUAUCGGUGAUGGAUGGGGAUGCGUCUGAUUAGCUUGUUGGCGGGGUAACGGCCCACCAAGGCGACGAUCAGUAGGGGUUCUGAGAGGAAGGUCCCCCACAUUGGAACUGAGACACGGUCCAAACUCCUACGGGAGGCAGCAGUGAGGAAUAUUGGUCAAUGGGCGAGAGCCUGAACCAGCCAAGUAGCGUGCAGGAUGACGGCCCUAUGGGUUGUAAACUGCUCUUAUAAGGGAAUAAAGUGAGAGUCGUGACUCUUUUUGCAUGUACCUUAUGAAUAAGGACCGGCUAAUUCCGUGCCAGCAGCCGCAGUAA
rnacentral:rRNA from 1 species